rnacentral:rRNA from 1 species
UAGCAGGAAAUUAAGGGCGUACGGUGGAUGCCUUGACUUUAAGAGGCGAUGAAGGACGUGGCGUUGCUGCGAUAAGCUUCGGGGAGGUGCUUAGCUACCUUUGAUCCGGAGAUUUCCGAAUGGGGAAACCCCAUCGAGUAAACCUCGAUGACUUUUAUCUUUAUGGUAAAAGAGCAAACCCUGGGAAGUGAAACAUCUCAGUACCAGGAGGAGUAGAAACAAAUAUGUAUUUCCUUAGUAGCGGCGAGCGAAAAGGAAGAAGCCCAAACCAAGGUCGCAAGACUUUGGGGUUGUAAGGUGACAAUUUUUAUUUAAUUAGAGAGGAGUCAAAAAAUAAGUUAUUAGUUGAAGUUGCUGGAAAGCGACACCAUAGGGGGUGAUAGUCCCGUAAACGAAAAUAAUUUAUCUCUUUUAUUGUUAUUCUUGAGUACCCCAGGACAUCAAUAGCCGGGGGGAAUCUGGCGGAACUAACCGCUAAGGCUAAAUACUCUUAAAGAUCGAUAGUGAACUAGUACCGUGAGGGAAAGGUGAAAAGCAGCCCGAUUAGGGCGGUGAAAUAGACCUGAAACCGUAUGUUUACAAGGAGUCGAAGUCCGUUUUCGAAUGGACAACGGCGUGCCUAUUGAAGAAUGAGCCAACGAGUUUAUUCAUACUGCAAGGCUAAGCUGGCUAAAACAGCGAAGCCAAAGGGAAACCAAGUGUUAAUAGCGCAAAUAAGUAGUAUGCAUAAGACCCGAAGCAAGGUGAGCUUGCCAUGAGCAGGAUGAAGUAGGUCGAAAGAUCUAUGGAGGUCCGAACCGGUUUGUCGUACAACGCAUUCGGAUGACUUGUGGUAAGGAGUGAAAAGCUAAUCGAACCUUGUAAUAGCUGGUUCUCUCCGAAAUAGCUUUAGGGCUAGCGUCAAGUGUUUUCUCUGGGGGUAGAGCACUGGAAGAAUUCAACAGGGAGCAAUCUCGUGAAUUCUAUCAAACUCCGAAUACCAGAGACCAAAGCUUGGCAGUUAGGCUAUGGGGGCGAAGCUCCAUUAGCCAAAAGGGAAACAGCCCAGAUCUCAAAAUAAGGUCCCUAAAUAUAUACUAAGUGUAAGACAAGAAGGUGAAAUUUCUUAGACAAUGAGGAGGUUGGCUUAGAAGCAGCCAUCCUUUAAAGAUAGCGUAACAGCUCACUCAUCUAGAGAUUUUGCGUCGAAAAUAAUUGGGGCUAAGUAUAUUACCGAAUUUGAGGAUUCGUAGACUUCAUAAAGGAAAAAAUUCCUUUAAAUUAUUUUGUUGUGAAAGCAACAAUUAAAAAAACGGGAAAGACGAUAAGAUUAGGAGAAGUUCCAAUUUAUCGGCGGUGUUAAUGCAACACCCUUUACCCAGAAAGGUGAAGUGGCAAUGCCACUUCACCUCCUUUAUGAAGUCUAUGAGUGGUAGGAGAGUGUUCCACUCUGCUGUGAAGAAGGACUCGUGAGAGCCUUUGGAGCGUGUGGAAGUAAGAAUGUUGGCACAAGUAACCGCAAUGACGCUGAGAUCGCGUCACGUCGAAAGAUCAAGGUUUCCUUGGUAAUGUCAAUCAGCCAAGGGUUAGUCGGGCCUAAGGGGAUGGCGAAAGCCGUACUCGAUGGACACAGGGUUAAUAUUCCCUGACUUCCGUAUUUAGUGAUGGGAUGACGGAGUGUAGUAUGUAUCGCUCAUUAUUGGAUUUGAAGUUUGUGUCUUAAGGAUGUUGCAUAGGAAAAUCCGUGCAUUGCUUUAAAUGGCACAUCCAAGAGAAGCAAAAAGUUUUAUCCUUCGGGAUAGGGCAAUGAUACAAAGCACGCUUCCAAGAAAACUCUCUAAACUUAUAAAUAUGGAAUCCGUACCGCAAACCGACACAGGUGAUCAGGGCGAGUAGCCCAAGACGAACGAGUGAGUGGUCCUCAAGGAACUCGGCAAAAAAUCAGCCGUAACUUCGGGAUAAGGCUUCCCCCCAUUAUUUUGGAUAUUUCCAAAUAUUGAGGGAAAGUUAAGUAUGUAAAAAAGAGACAAAAUUAAUUUUCCCCAUUAUUUUUAUAUGUAAGUAUCUAAAAUAGUGGGGGGCGCAGCGAAAGUAUUCCUGGCAACUGUUUACCAAAAACACAGCUCCCUGCGAACUCGCAAGAGGAUGUAUAGGGGGUGACACCUGACCAAUGCCAGAAGGUCAAAUAUCGCCGUUGGUAGUAGCAAUAUUAUUGGUGAGUGAUAUAAGCCCUGGUGAAUGUCGGCCGUAACUAUAACGGUCCUAAGGUAGCGAAAUACCUUGUCGGGUAAGUUCCGACGCGCACGAAUGGUGUAAUGACUGGGAAACUGUCUCGAGGACCAGCUCGGUGAAAAUACAAUACCGGUGAAGAUGCCGGUUAAGUGCAGUUAGACGAAAAGACCCUAGAAGCUUUACUAUAGCUUGAUAUUGAGCAUGUUUUUAGACUGCGUAGCAUAGAUGGGAGAGUUUGAAGUUUCGGUUCCGGCUGAAAUGGACUCGUCAGUGAAAUACCAUUCUUUUUGAAGGCAUGUUCUAACCAAUACGGCAAAAACGUAUUGAGACAGUAUCUGGUGGAUAGUUUUACUGGGGCUGUACCCUCCUAAAGAGUAAAGGAGGGGUUUAAAGGUCAGCUAGGCGCGAAUGGAAACCGUGCCGAUAGUGUAUAAGCACAAGCUGGCUUGACUGUAAGACGUACAUGUCGAGCAGGUGGGAAACCAGAAUUAAGUGAUCCGACCAUUCGCAUUAGACGCGGUGGAAGCUCAACGGAUAAAAGCUACUCUAGGGAUAACAGGCUAGUUCCGCCCAAGAGUUCAUAUCGACGGCGGAGUUCGGCACCUCGAUGUCGGCUCACCUUAGCGCGGCGGUGGAGAAGCUGCCAAGCGUUUGGCUGUUCGCCAAUUAAAAAGGUACGCGAGCUGGGUUCAGACCGUUUAGGUCAUAAAAUAUUUUGUGAUUUAAACAGUUUGAGCCCUCAGAGGAAAAUAAUUCGAAUGUGAAUUAGAACUGUUAUAAAAUUGAAAUCAAUCAAGUACAUUAAAUUGUAUACACGGCGGCACUAUAUAGAAAUAUGUAGUGGCAAGCUAACUUAUAUCGGAGAAACCCCUAAGGGGCAACGCCGAGGGAACCCGUAAAGGGGCCCGUAGAGACUGAAUGUUAGCAAUCCUGGUGAAGGAAUAUUCCUUCGACAAGUUCAGGAUGAAGUCACAGUCCAAUCCACAUAGUAAUAUGUGAAAAAUUUUAUUUUAAAAAUAAAAUUGUAGAUGCGUGAGACAGGUUGGUCUCCUAUCUACUGCACUCGUUGAUUCUUGAGAAGAUCUGCUUCUAGUACGAGAGGACCGAAGUGGACUGACCUCUGGUGUAUCAGCUGUCCUGCCAAGGGCACUGCUGAGUAGCUAUGUCGGGAAUGGAUAACCUCUGAAAGCAUCUAAGAGGGAAGCCAGCUUCAAGAUUAGGAAUCGUUAAGAACCGUGAGAGAUGAUCACGUUGAUAGGCUUUAGGUGGAAGCGUAGUAAUGCGUUAAGCCGAGAAGUACUAAUGUUUCGAUUCCUGUUAAG